UUGGUUAAGUUAGAAAGGGCGCACGGUGGAUGCCUUGGCACUAGGAGCCGAAGAAGGACGGGACUAACACCGAUAUGCUUUGGGGAGCUGUACGUAAGCGUUGAUCCAGAGAUUUCCGAAUGGGGGAACCCACUAUCUUUAGUCGGAUAGUAUCCUUACGUGAAUACAUAGCGUAAGGAAGGCAGACCCAGGGAACUGAAACAUCUAAGUACCUGGAGGAAGAGAAAGAAAAAUCGAUUUCCUGAGUAGCGGCGAGCGAAACGGAAAGAGCCCAAACCAAGAAGCUUGCUUCUUGGGGUUGUAGGACACUCUAUACGGAGUUACAAAAGAAAGUUAUAAAUGAAGCGGUCUGGAAAGGCCCGCCAAAGACGGUAACAGCCCGGUAGUUGAAAUGGCUUUCCCUCCAGAGUGGAUCCUGAGUACGGCGGAACACGUGAAAUUCCGUCGGAAUCCGGGAGGACCAUCUCCCAAGGCUAAAUACUCCCUAGUGACCGAUAGUGAACCAGUACCGUGAGGGAAAGGUGAAAAGCACCCCGGAAGGGGAGUGAAACAGUUCCUGAAACCGUGUGCCUACAAGUAGUUAGAGCCCGUUAAUGGGUGAUAGCGUGCCUUUUGUAGAAUGAACCGGCGAGUUACGAUUUGUUGCAAGGUUAAGCGGAAAAAGCGGAGCCGUAGCGAAAGCGAGUCUGAAUAGGGCGCAUAAGUAACAGGUCGUAGACCCGAAACCAGGUGAUCUACCCAUGUCCAGGAUGAAGGUAAGGUAAUACUUACUGGAGGUCCGAACCCACGCACGUUGAAAAGUGCGGGGAUGAGGUGUGGGUAGCGGAGAAAUUCCAAUCGAACUUGGAGAUAGCUGGUUCUCUCCGAAAUAGCUUUAGGGCUAGCCUCGAGGUAAAGAGUCAUGGAGGUAGAGCACUGUUUGGACUAGGGGCCCUUCUCGGGUUACCGAAUUCAGAUAAACUCCGAAUGCCAUGUACUUAUACUCGGGAGUCAGACUGCGAGUGAUAAGAUCCGUAGUCGAAAGGGAAACAGCCCAGACCACCAGUUAAGGUCCCCAAAUAUAUGUUAAGUGGAAAAGGAUGUGGGGUUGCUUAGACAACCAGGAUGUUGGCUUAGAAGCAGCCACCAUUGAAAGAGUGCGUAAUAGCUCACUGGUCGAGUGACCCCGCGCCGAAAAUGUACCGGGGCUAAACAUAUUACCGAAACUGUGGAUGAACCUCUUCGGAGGUUCGUGGUAGGAGAGCGUUCUAAGGGCGGUGAAGUCAGACCGGAAGGACUGGUGGAGCGCUUAGAAGUGAGAAUGCCGGUAUGAGUAGCGAAAGAAGGGUGAGAAUCCCUUCCACCGAAUAUCUAAGGUUUCCUGAGGAAGGCUCGUCCGCUCAGGGUUAGUCGGGACCUAAGCCGAGGCCGAUAGGCGUAGGCGAUGGACAACAGGUAGAGAUUCCUGUACCAGUGCUAAUUGUUUAACCGAUGGGGUGACACAGAAGGAUAGGGAAUCGCACGAAUGGAAAUGUGCGUCCAAGCAGUGAGUGUGAGAA
rnacentral:rRNA from 1 species